UGCCAGGCGUGUAACCACCUAGAGAGCCCCGCCCGACGGCCACAAAGCCGCGUCGCAGGCUUAAGACCCUUCCCCGCGCCACAUUCUUGGUCCAGCGCUCCUUUCCAGUGUCUCUAAUUCCAGUGUCAACGUUCCUAUUCCAAAUUCCAUUUCUAAUGUCAGAUUCUAUGGCCACGCUAAGACACCAGUUCUAACUCUAAAAUCCCCAGUCUCAACGAUAAAAAAUGUUUCUAAGGCUCUGACGCCGGAUGCCCUGACUGCCCAGUUCAACCCCUACGUCCCGGCGCGGACCUACAGCGGUCAUCCAGGCUGGGGUGGGAUGGAGAACUUUCCACCCUACUGACGCCCAGCACCGAGCAGCUCCAGCCGCCCGGACGGGGCUGAGCACCUGCUGAAUGCCCCAGGCCUUGUUCUAGCAAGGGAUGCCAAAAUUGUUUAAUUAUCACUCCUUUGUACCAUAUCACUGGAUCUUCACAUCACCUGGCAAGAUAAACAAGCAUUACCCAUCUACAAACCAACAAACAGCACCAACGAAGUAACAAUGAAAUCUCCUCUGAGUCUGGGAUGGAAAGGAGUGGUGAGCGUGGAAGGAUAGAAAAGCUACGGGGGCGGGGGGAUCGGGGGCCUCAGUUGGUUAAGUGCCUC